GACAGGGGUCCCAAGCGUUAGGCGGAAUCACUGGGCUUAAAGCGUGUGUAGGCGGACCAUCAAGUACCUUGUGAAAUCCCACGGCUUAACCGUGGAACUGCUUGGUAUACUGGUGGUCUUGAGGCAUCUAGGGGUACUGGGACAAACGGUGGAGCGGUGAUAUGCGUAGAUAUCGUUUGGAACGCCCAAGGUGAAAACAGGUUACUGGGGAUGUACUGACGCUGAGACACGAAAGCCAGGGGAGC
rnacentral:rRNA from 1 species